GUCCUGGAACGGUCGGUCCCGAGGAGGGUCCGACCCCGAGGAGGCAGCCAGCAGGUGUCUCGCGCCGGGGCGCACCCGCCUCGAGGAAGGCGCUGGCUCAGAACCCGACGCACGGUAGACGUUGCCAACGGCCUCUGGGCGGCCGGAGCCGCGGUAGGUGAGCUCCGGCUCGGUGGAGAAGGCCCCUACCUGGGGGGCGGGGCCGGGGGCGGGGCUCCGCCCGCACCUGGCCAAUGGGCGCCGGGGGACCCGCCCCGCCCCUCGAGUGGGCGGGGCUUGCGCGCCCGGCCUCCGCGGCGCUCCCCAACCCCCGGGGGGCGGGGCCGGCCGGCGGCGCUCGGCGCUGACGCUGCGCCGACGCGCCCGACGUCGGGCACGUUGACGCCGGCGACGCGCAGCCGGGCCCGCUCCUCCUGCGCUCAGGCAGUGUCCGGCCGCGGGCCGGCCUUGGUGACUGGGGGCUGCGGGCCCGGGGCCGGCGGGCGCGGGCGCGGGCCGCUUUCGUCGGGCCCCGAGCUCGCCCGGAGCGAGCAGCCGCCCGCACGGCGCCGCGGAGCCUCCUCGCCCGCUCCCGCCGGCGAGCAAGGUAAGGAGCGGGAGACUGAGGCAGGCUGGGGCGGAGCGGGGCGGAGCGGGGCCGCGGGCGCCCGGGCGCCGGCCCCUCCCCGCGGCGGCCCCCUCCCCGCGGCGGCGCUCGCUGUCAGCCCCCGGGCGCGGAGGCGGUGGGCCCCGGCGGGGCGCCCCGAGGCCGGGCUCCUGGGGCCGCGGCGCCCCGGGGGCCCCGGGUCAGUCCCGGGUCAGCCCCGGGUCAGCCCCGCGCCGGGCUCGGGGGCCGAGGACCUGUGGCCGGGGAAGCCGCGGCCCGGGCUGCGCUCCAGCUGUCAGCGGUGCCCCGCGGUCCGGGGUCCGGGGCCCGGGGCCCUGCAGCGCGGCGCUGGGCGAGGGGCGAGGAGGUCGCGGCGGUCGCGGCGUCGCCGCCCCCGGGGCUCCAGCCUCCUCCCGCGGCGCCCGCCUGCUGUGGGCCUCGCUGGCGGCGUCUCCUUCUCCCCUUUCCCUUCUCCUCCGUCCUCCUCCCUGUCCUUUCUUCCGUCUUGCUUCCUCCUCCGCUCCCUCCUAGCCGUCCGCGGCCGCACCGACCUGCUCCAUGCCCGGUGUGCAAGUUUCCUUUCUAAUACUCUUUUCUUUUUUUCCCUCCGGCCGUAA
rnacentral:lncRNA from 1 species